CAGUCGACGGGAUCUUCGGAUUCUAGUGGCGGACGGGUGAGUAACGCGUAAGAAUCUAACUUCAGGACGGGGACAACAGUUGGAAACGACUGCUAAUACCCGAUAUGCCGCGAGGUGAAACCUAAUUGGCCUGAAGAAGAGCUUGCGUCUGAUUAGCUAGUUGGUGGGGUAAGAGCCUACCAAGGCGACGAUCAGUAGCUGGUCUGAGAGGAUGAGCAGCCACACUGGGACUGAGACACGGCCCAGACUCCUACGGGAGGCAGCAGUGGGGAAUUUUCCGCAAUGGGCGAAAGCCUGACGGAGCAACGCCGCGUGAGGGAGGAAGGUCUUUGGAUUGUAAACCUCUUUUCUCAAGGAAGAAGUUCUGACGGUACUUGAGGAAUCAGCCUCGGCUAACUCCGUGCCAGCAGCCGCGGUAAUACGGGGGAGGCAAGCGUUAUCCGGAAUUAUUGGGCGUAAAGCGUCCGCAGGUGGUCAGCCAAGUCUGCCGUCAAAUCAGGUUGCUUAACGACCUAAAGGCGGUGGAAACUGGCAGACUAGAGAGCAGUAGGGGUAGCAGGAAUUCCCAGUGUAGCGGUGAAAUGCGUAGAGAUUGGGAAGAACAUCGGUGGCGAAAGCGUGCUACUGGGCUGUAUCUGACACUCAGGGACGAAAGCUAGGGGAGCGAAAGGGAUUAGAUACCCCUGUAGUCCUAGCCGUAAACGAUGGAUACUAGGUGUGGCUUGUAUCGACCCGAGCCGUGCCGAAGCUAACGCGUUAAGUAUCCCGCCUGGGGAGUACGCACGCAAGUGUGAAACUCAAAGGAAUUGACGG
rnacentral:rRNA from 1 species